GACAAGAAGGGUGACACCCACAGGGGCGGGAGCCCCAGGCUGGGUCAUGGAGCUCACACUAGGCCUGAACGUGUGCUGCACAUCUUGGCCAGAACAGUGGCUCGUGGGACUGGAUGGAACCCACUGACAGCUGGAGGCUGGAGGCAGCUCUUGGGACACUUCCCUGGCUUGGGCAGGCGUGGGAAGCCAGCACCCUGGGGUAUCAGCCAGGCCUCUGGCCAUAAGCAGCAGAUGGCUCUGAGAGAAAUCAUGAAUUGGUUAUUAGAAAUCACUUCAGGGCCUUGCUGCUGGUGGGGAGGAGGCGGCACCUGCAGGAGAGGCUGGCCCUGGGUGCCGAGCACGGAGCAUGAGUCUGCGCUGAUGUCAGCCUCCCAAAGUGUCUUGGCUGGGCCUCGAGGCCACCUCCACCCCCAGCAGUGCUGAGAAGCCCAAGGCCCGAGACUGACAAGCGUUUCCGGGGCUGGUACAUCCUGGGCUGGCUCCGAGGAGGGGUGGCUUCGGGCUGGGGCUGUUACCCUUAUCCAGGGACUAGAGCGAGGGCUGGAAAGUGCCCUUCCCUCCCCUCCAGGGGAAAAGACAACCCUGACAUGGGGGUCGAUGCCCCUUCCUCCAGGAAGCCCUCCUGGCCCUGGGUGGCCCCCUCUGUACCUGCGCCCCAUUACUAUGUAGUUGUUGGUUCUGAGCUGGGCUUUUGGUGAGGGGAGGACAGGGCUGUGUCCAAGCUGGCACUUGGAUGCCACUCUGCACGAGGCCUGUGCUAAGUCCUUUCCCAAGGGCUGGGUGCUGUGACCCUCCUGGGGAGGCGGGGAGCCCCUGGGAGGUUGGAUGCCUUGUCCAGGCAGCCUGGCUCCAGCCCUGUAUCCUGCUCAUGCUUUGUCCUAGCAUUCAGCAGUGUGCCUGGCACUUUGUGUGGCCUCAGCAGGUAGCUCCUGAAUAAAGGAAUGUGUGCCCACCUCA
ensembl:lncRNA novel transcript